UGGCUGAGUGGUAAAGCGUUUGGCUUUCGAACCUGAGGUCCUGGGUUCAAAUCUCAG
rnacentral:tRNA from 1 species